rnacentral:rRNA from 1 species
GAUGAACGCUGGCGGCGUGCUUAACACAUGCAAGUCGAACGGUGAAGCAGGAGCUUGCUCCUGUGGAUCAGUGGCGAACGGGUGAGUAACACGUGAGCAAUCUGCCCUGGACUCUGGGAUAAGCGUUGGAAACGACGUCUAAUACCGGAUACGAGGCGUGGGGGCAUCCCCAACGCCUGGAAAGAACUUCGGUCCAGGAUGAGCUCGCGGCCUAUCAGGUAGUUGGUGAGGUAACGGCUCACCAAGCCUACGACGGGUAGCCGGCUCGAGAGGGUGACCGGCCACACUGGGACUGAGACACGGCCCAGACUCCUACGGGAGGCAGCAGUGGGGAAUAUUGCACAAUGGGCGCAAGCCUGAUGCAGCAACGCCGCGUGAGGGACGACGGCCUUCCGGUUGUAAACCUCUUUUAGCAGGGAAGAAGCGAAAGUGACGGUACCUGCAGAAAAAGCACCGGCUAACUACGUGCCAGCAGCCGCCGUAACAC